AUCAUGGAGAGUUUGAUCCUGGCUCAGAACGAACGCUGGCGGCGUGUCUUAAGCAUGCAAGUCGAACGAGAAACAUGCCUUCGGGCGUGUGGACAGUGGCGGACGGGUGAGUAACACGUAGGUGAUCUACCUCCGGGUGGGGGAUAGCCCAUGGAAACAUGGGGUAAUACCGCAUGAGGCCGGGCAUUUGCGAAUGUCCGAUGAAAGGCGCAACUGUGCCGCCUGGAGAUGAGCCUGCGCUCCAUUAGCUUGUUGGUAGGGUAAUGGCCUACCAAGGCGACGAUGGAUAGCCGGCCUGAGAGGGUGAACGGCCACACUGGGACUGAGACACGGCCCAGACUCCUACGGGAGGCAGCAGCUAAGAAUAGUCCGCAAUGGGGGAAACCCUGACGGUGCGACGCCGCGUGAACGAUGAAGGCCUGACGGUUGUAAAGUUCUUUUCUCGACGAAGAAUAAGGACAGGAGUGGAACGCCUGUCUGAUGACGUUAAUCGAGGAAUAAGCCCCGGCUUAAUACGUGCCAGCAGCCGCGGUAAUACGUAUGGGGCGAGCGUUGUUCGGAAUUAUUGGGCGUAAAGGGCGCGUAGGCGGUUUCGCAAGCCUGAUGUGAAAGGCUCCGGCUCAACCGGAGUUGUGCGUUGGGAACUGCGUGACUAGAGUUCUGGAGGGGAAGUUGGAAUUCCUGGUGUAGGGGUGAAAUCUGUAGAUAUCAGGAAGAACACCGGUGGCGAAGGCGAGCUUCUGGCCAGAAACUGACGCUGAGGCGCGAAAGCGUGGGGAGCGAACAGGAUUAGAUACCCUGGUAG
rnacentral:rRNA from 1 species